UACGUAGGUGGCAAGCGUUGUCCGGAUUUAUUGGGUUUAAAGGGUGCGUAGGCGGUCCUAUAAGUCAGUGCUGAAAUAUCCCGGCUUAACCGGGAGGGUGGCAUUGAUACUGCAGGACUUGAGUAAAGUUGAGGUAGGCGGAAUUGACGGUGUAGCGGUGAAAUGCUUAGAUAUCGUCAAGAACACCGAUAGUGAAGACAGCUUACUAAACUUUAACUGACGCUGAGGCACGAAAGUGUGGGGAUCAAACAGG
rnacentral:rRNA from 1 species